GAGACUAUAACUGUCAAGAAAGAUUAAACAGGCUGUGGCAGCUUUCUCUCAGACAGUGAGGAGGUGACCUGGUCAUGGGCUUCAAAAUUAUGAAGGGGUCUAAUAGACUGAUGGAAGCUAAUGCCAUUUGAGGUGGAGAGCAAAAAUCAGGGUAAUAAACACUGUGUGUGGGCUCAUUCAAGCCUCAUAUGGAUUAGGAUAUUCACCUUUCUGGUCUAACUGUAAUGCUGCUGGAGUUCAUGGGGCUUUUUGCCAGAAUUCUUUACUUACAUAAGGCCUGAUCAACAUAAGCAUCCUGUCAGCACUGUGUUAUAUUCUGCCACAGUAGCGCAUUGGAAAUCAAAUCACACAAUCCCUGCAGCCAUUCCGAAAGCGAAAGAUUUCAUCCAGGUACUUGUCACUUCUUUACAGGAGGCAUAGAGAGAUUGGUUCCCAACUAUAAAGUCUCUGACUCAUCAAUUAAAUCAACAGCUUGUAGCAAAUAUAGAAAAUAAAUGGACUUUCCUCAGUCUUCAGGUAUAUUCUACUGCAGAGAUGUCCAAAGGCUUCUGGAAAUAUCAUUCACAUCCACAAGCUGUUCAGCUACUGGGAGGCAACCACUUAGUUACUGGCACACAGAUGGCCUUUGUCAUCCACAGAUGGUCACCACUCCACAAGCCAACCAGUUACUUGGAGCUGGCUGAAUCUUACUUUGUACACAUCCCCUAGUGCCAGCCUCUCUGUAACCAGCAUCGUCUCAAAGCAGCAGUGUAAACACCAUUUACAAUGAGCUUUGGUAACUACGUUUUUUAAAAAAAAGUACAGCAACCCCAUUCCCAGUCCUUGGUUUUAAAACAAUCUUUAUUCCUAUUUCACUCCAUAAUCGAAAGUGCAGAAUAAUAAAAAGUGAGCCUUUACAAAUAAAGUAAAGCUUCUACUCCU